AGAUAGAAAGUUAAAGCGUUUACAAAAAGUUUUUAGGGGAUUAUAAAAACUAGGGGGAAUUUUAAAAUGGGAACAAUUGUAUGUCAAGUUUGUGAAAGCACGAUUGCGCACUUCGAGGAUGAAAAAGUGACAGUAUUAUAUGGGAAAUGUAGUUCUCAGUGUGAAUGCAAGCAGAGAGAGCAUACGAAAGCCCAAUAAUAUAAUAUAGGAAAGCGUCUGCAUGUGCAGACGCUUUUUUUUAC
rnacentral:sRNA from 1 species